rnacentral:rRNA from 1 species
UACGGAGGGGGCUAGCGUUGUUUCGGAAUUACUGGGCGUAAAGCGCACGUAGGCGGCUUUGUAAGUUAGAGGUGAAAGCCCGGGGCUCAACUCCGGAAUUGCCUUUAAAACUGCAUCGCUCGAAUUGUGGAGAGGUAAGUGGAAUUCCGAGUGUAGAGGUGAAAUUCGUAGAUAUUCGGAAAGAACACCAGUGGCGAAGGCGACUUACUGGACACAUAUUGACGCUGAGGAGCGAAAAGCGUGGGGAGCGAACGAGG